rnacentral:rRNA from 1 species
AAUAUUGGACAAUGGUGGCAACCCUGAUCCAGCCAUGCCGCGUGUGUGAAGAAGGUCUUAGGUUUGUAAAGCACUUUAAGUUGGGAGGAAGGGCCUUAGGUUAAUACCCUGAAGUUUUGACGUUACCAACAGAUGAAGCACCGGCUAACUCUGUGCCAGAAGCCGAGGUAAUACCGAGGCUGCAAGCGUUAAUCGGAAUUACUGGGCGUAAAGCGCGCGUAGGUGGUUCAGUAAGGUAGGUGUGAAAUCCCCGGGCUGAACCUGGGAACUGCUUUCAUAACUGCUGAGCUAGAGUACGGUAGAGGGUAGUGGAAUUUCCUGUGUAGCGGUGAAAUGCGUAGAUAUAGGAAAGAACGCCAGUGGAGAAGGCGACUACCUGGACUAAUACUGACACUGAGGUGCGAAAGCGUGGGGAGCAAAC